GUUUUUCUAGUUCUUUCCGUUUCUCUGUCUGAACUUCACAGCCAAUCACUCUUGUUUACAUCAUGGAAGCAUCGUGGGAAGAAGGGUGUUAUAAUUUAAAAUGAUUUGGAAAACAGCGUAUUAUUUUUAUUUCAAUAGAGGAGCUCUAAAUGGAGACAUUGUUGCUGGCUCUUAUUUUGUGAAGUUAGAAAGAUAAUUCUACUAAGAGGUCGACAUUAAGGAAAAGUGAGGGAUCCUGCGCAACCAGACAACCUCCAACUAGACAUCAAAUAGACUGGAAAAGUGAGUGUCAGAAAGUGCAUGGUCGACGCAGAUAAGGCCUGCAAGCGACGGUUGCAUAUGUAAAAAAUAAAAAUGAAUCACAACAAGGAAGAUAUAAUAUUUAAACUAUGUGAAUCAAUCAACUAUUUGAAUGCUAUAUUUUUGAUUUCGCACACAAGUGUACUAAAAGUGCUUUUCAGUCGCUUCACGUUAUAGGAACUACUAAAUUGCUACUAAACUGAUUUCGUUUGAUUAUAAAAAGAUUAAUAUUUUUCAGGCUGUUAUGGUAAUAUUUAUGUCAUUUAGUAAUUGUGUAAUUCUUAUAUCUUAUUGAAGACAGAGUUUAAAUUAUGUCAUAUUCAAUGUUAAAAAGUUUACAUUUUGUGUUGUGUGUUUUUAUUCAGUAUGUAUAUUAAUUAUUAUAUUAAUUAUAUCUUGUUGAGUUCACAACAAUUGAGAGAUAAGAAAAGCCUUCUAAAAUAACAUGUGUCGUUAUAUAAAUAAUUCGCUCUUGAGAUUUAAUUUUUAUAGGCGAUAACUUUUUUUCCUAAUUUAAUUUUCAGAUAUUAUGUGAUAAGUAAAUUAUCAUAAAAAUUAAAUACUUCCAAUAGAAAAUGACUAUAUCAAAUUGUGCUUUAAGUCAAGGAAUCUUAAGAAAAAUGUCAAUAGAAUGACAGAGUAAAAUAAUUCAAAAUUUUUAUUUAUAUUAGUUAAUAACUUGUGUUAUUUAAGCUUUUAUUUGUAGCUAUAAUUACUACUCUAACCACUAUUAUGUUUGAAAGAUUAAAGUUGACUAUAAUUUAAAUAUCAAAUAUAUCUAAAAUUAAAAUGGUUGUAUUUAAAUCUAUAGUAGCAAGCAAGUACAUUGAUCAAAAUGUAACAUAAUUAUAUAAUUAUAUUUUACAAUGCCUGAUUUCAAAGUAAGUGAACAGUGUCAAAUUAGAUUUAUUUCAAAUAUUUUGGCGGCAUUUCGAACAUUAUAUGGUAUAUGUGUUAUUUACAUUCAAUUUCAUUUAUCAAUUACAAAUAUAAACCAAAGUUAAUUGACUUAUAUGAAAUCAUAAUUUUAUAAUUAGAUUGUUUAUGUUUAUAUUUAUAGAUAUAUACACUUCACACGGUCUCCUUAUUGUGCAUAUGAAUUUGCAUUUGUCAAAUAUUUCCGAGGUUUAUUUAACAAAAUUUAUCAUUCAAAUUUGUAAUUUCAAAGGAUAUAAAAAUUAAGAUUUUGACUU